rnacentral:piRNA from 1 species
UUGCUUAGCGCCCAAGGUAGAUGAGAGA